AUUCUACGUAAACGUCUGUGGUUAAUUCACGUAAAGGUUCGAAUUCGUUAUUUAUCUAUACAAUAGCCUACAAGUAGAUACAAAAACAGUUAUUAACAAAACGCUUCGGGCGUUUUUCGUGGGAAUCAUUCAAAAGGUUAAUACUGGAUGUCGUUGGAAAAACAAAUGGAAUUACCUCACCUCCUACGAACAUCGCCCACAGAGCUUAUGAUUGUCUCAAGAUUGACUUAUAACCAGCGAAUGAUAUCAGAAUAAAGAACAAGUAAAAAA